UAUUUGGCAAUUCUGGAGACAUUUUGGAUCAUCAUGACCAGGGCAGGGGUGGGGUGCUCCUGGUAUCUGCGGGAUACAGGCCAGAGAUGCUGCUAAACAACCUACAGUGCACAGGACAGCACUUUCCUCCCCCUUCCCAAAGAAAGCUCUGGCCCAAAAUGUCAAUAGUCCCCUGGUUGAGAGACCCUGGCAUAGAAGAGGGAAGUUGCUUGCCGUAGAUGGACUGUUACCAGAUGAGAGGGGUGAUGGGGUGCAUCUUGGCUGGCCUAAGAAUUGCUGUCUGGGCUGUCUUGAACCCACCAUUCUGAAUUAACUGACUCGCAGGAGGCAUUGUUCUUCAAAGUCUUGAAACAGGAAGAGUGGCUUGUAGGAAUUUCUCAUAGGUAAGUGCAUGAGAACCACAAAAAGGGAAACAAAUCCCUAUGAAAAUAUAAAGGUCUGGGCUCUUCAUUCAGGUCUUUUCUUCUACUGACUAUUUUAAUUAUCGAGUGGAUGAAAUAUGUGAAAUUAUUUAUUU
rnacentral:lncRNA from 1 species